UACGUAGGGUGCAAGCGUUAAUCGGAAUUACUGGGCGUAAAGGGCGCGUAGGCGGCGCUGUUAGUCAGGCGUGAAAGCCCUGGGCUCAACCUGGGGACUGCGCUUGAUACGGCAGUGCUAGAGGAUGGAAGAGGGUCGCGGAAUUCCCAGUGUAGAGGUGAAAUUCGUAGAUAUUGGGAAGAACACCGGUGGCGAAGGCGGCGACCUGGUCCUUACUGACGCUGAGGCGCGACAGCGUGGGGGAGCAAACAGG
rnacentral:rRNA from 1 species